CACAAGUCAGAAGUCACACAUCAAGCCUAAAUAAAUUAAAUUUUAAAUUAUGAAGACUAAAAUUAGGGAAGUUAAACAAGAAGUAACAUUUACGGACGGCGCUCAUUAUAACAAAAUUUGUUUUCCUGUGUUAAAAGAAGAAUUAAAAUUAGAAUGUGAAGUAUUCCAAACUUGUAACAAUGAAACGUUCACUGAUUACAAUGACCUGGUUUUAGAGGCUCCAAGAAUCUGCACCAAAUGUGAUCAAAUAUUUCCAAAUAGUUUUACAUAUUUAGAGCAUAAUUUAACUCACAUACAAGUAAAAGUUCCUAAAGUGCAGUGGUUAUUUUGUCACCGUUGUCCAGAAAAGUUUCUAACUAAGCCUGCUUUAGAAAAACACAUCAAGGAAUCACAUUUAAAGCUGAAACCACAUGAAGAUGAGUUAAAGCAAUGUGAUGUAUGCAACAAGAUAUUUUCAAAAAAAUAUUGGUACGCUCAUUUAGCCGUUCACAAAGACAACAAGGCUUUAACAUGUUAUAUAUGUAAAAAUGGAAAGAUCUUUAAAACAAAAGUCACAUUAAAGCGCCAUUUUAAAAAUGUGCAUGAUAAACCGAAGAUCAAAAAAGAAAAAAAAAUUGUAAAUCAUUUUAAAUGCAAUGAAUGUCCAAAAGUAUUUCAAAGUAAGGAUUGUCUUCAGCAUCAUGUACGGAACUGUCAUGUUAUUAUGGAGGUUAAAUGUGACUUAUGUGGUGCUAUGUUUAAAAAUAAACCGUAUUUAGCUAUACAUAUUAGCAGGGUCCAUUAUGAUGAUGGGCACUUAUAUCCUUGUGAUAUUUGUGGUAAAACAUUCAAAGCUCCACGUAGAGUUAAAAUACAU